CUCCCCUAGGUCUCCCACAGUGUCUAACCCAUAAUAGAUGCUCUGUAAAUGCUUGUCUGGCAGAUGACAGUUUUAAUUUUUAAUUCCAGAAUUUGUAUUUGAAUUCCUUUGACACCUUGGAAGAACCUUCCCCCUUUAACAAAGCAGAGAAUCUCAAUUGGUUCUUGAUGAGUAGAGGCAGCAAUUUGGGGGGUCACCACAUCUUAGGGACUUCAUUCAGCCAGUUGAUACCCUCAUUGCUAGCAGGCUCCCCAAGGCUGUCUAUGAUGAGUAAAAUGUCAGCUUGGGGGAUUUUAGUUAAGAGGUUGCCUUUCGUGUGCUGAACCCAAUGUGGAAGGGUUUCACAGCAAAGAUCCAACAGGCUGCUUAGGUAAGUCAACAGGAGGACUGAGGGGAAAGUUUCAUUAAGAAAAGCUAUACUGAGCUCGAUAGGCUGAGCCAGGAGGAUUGCAAGUUCAAAGCCGGCCUUAGCAACUUAGUAAGACCCUGUCUCAAAAUUUUAAAAGGCUGAGAAUAUGGCUCAGUGGUUAAGUGCCCCUAGGUUUAAUCCUAAAAAAAAAAAAAAAAACAACUAUGCUAAUCUUCCCCUUGCCAGCACAGUGGCCUGAGAGGACAAUGUCUAUUGAUGACUUGGUCCGAAGAGAUUGCACCUGUGGCCCACCCAUCUGCCUCCUGUCCAAGGAAUGACCCAAGAUAAUCAAUUCCUGCUUUGCAUAAACAACACCUGAGGUUCAGAAAGAAGCAGAGACACUUUGCCACUGGUCCUCAGUUUUGUCCUCUCACCUCCCCAUCAGGAUAUAGACUUUGCCAAUAGGGUGGUGGGUAGAUGAUUUGACCCGUUUCUGUGAUUCUUCAGCUGCUGUAAUAGGC
rnacentral:lncRNA from 1 species